CAACUUUUAACGGUGGAUCUCUUGGCUCGUGCAUCGAUGAAGAACGCAGCCAGGUGCGAUAAGUAGUGUGAAUUGCAGAAUUCAGUGAAUCAUCGAAUCUUUGAACGCAAAUGGCG
rnacentral:rRNA from 1 species